UACAGAGGGGGCAAGCGUUGUUCGGAAUUACUGGGCGUAAAGGGCGCGUAGGCGGCCGCGUAAGUCACUUGUGAAAUCCCGGGGCUCAACUCCGGGGCUGCAGGUGAGACUGCGUGGCUAGAGCACGGUAGAGGCGAGUGGAAUUCCCGGUGUAGCGGUGGAAUGCGUAGAUAUCGGGAAGAACACCGGUGGCGAAGGCGGCUCGCUGGGCCGUUGCUGACGCUGAGGCGCGAAAGCGUGGGGAGCAAACAGG
rnacentral:rRNA from 1 species